rnacentral:rRNA from 1 species
UACGUAGGGUCCGGGCGUUGUCCGGAAUUAUUGGGCGUAAAGGGCUCGUAGGCGGUUUGUUGCGUCGGGAGUGAAAACUUCGAGCUUAACUCGGAGCUUGCUUUCGAUACGGGCAGACUUGAGGCAUUCAGGGGAGAACGGAAUUUCUGGUGUAGCGGUGAAAUGCGCAGAUAUCAGAAGGAACACCGGUGGCGAAGGCGGUUCUCUGGGAAUGUUCUGACGCUGAGGAGCGAAAGUGUGGGGAGCGAACAGG